AUGACAUAAAGUAACUCCAAACGUUACCGGUCUCCUGGUGCUCUUGAUUUUUGAGAUUUGCAUAUGAAAAGCAAAUGCAAUACCCAGAACGAGCAAAGAACCAAAAUGCCACGUUUUUUUAAAAAGUUACAGGCCACAACUCCAGCUGUGGGCAGCUUUGCAAGGAGACAACUUCCAAGCAAAGAAGUCUGCCAGCUAGAGAAGGGGGGAAUCCUGCCGGUCUGCCCAAACCCAACCGUGCCAUCAGCACUCCCAGUGAGGGAGUCUUGCUGGAGUGAGAGAAGAUCAAGGUGAUCCAGCUGCAAAUCAGAUCCUGCUGAGUUUCAUAACUUCUGAAUUCCUCAUAUUAUACUCUGGAUUAUCAAGAAAAUGGUGUACUUAAAAGAUCAAACAAGGCAAAACCUAAAGUGAAAGAGAAAAUGAAUGUAAGCUCACAUUUCCAUCAUGCCUUGUAGAAAAAUCCACAGGAGGAAGAAAGAUAACAUUGAAUCCAAACCCUGAGAACAGAGCCCCGUGAAAGCGAGAAAUUAUAAACGCCACUGAAGAGAUUUUCUCCAGAAAGAUCACAGGUCUCACGCUUUAGUCAUGGCCUGUUCCUUCGCCAGCAGGUUCAGAGUGAUCUGUAAGAGCUAAGUGAUUUCUUUCAAGUAAGCUGCUCACGAGGACUACAGAAACCUCGAGGAUUACAGUACACAAACAAUGGGAGAAAAGCGGCUUCAAAUAAUACACCCAGACAAUGGAGUUGCCAUUAUGGUAGCAAUGCAAAAUAUGGACAGGGAUUUAAACGAAACGAGUGAUAUCUGUAUACUUUGGAGGGCUCACGUGUGCCAAAUUUGGCAGCAUGAGUGUUCAUCUUGCUUGUUGCUCCACCCCUUGAACAAUGAGGCUAAACCCCGUAAGUGCAGGAGUUGGUAGAGCACAAGCAGUUUUGCUAAUCACACUGCAUGCAAAAGCAAAAAGACAAAGGGAACUAGUAAUGCUUAGACUAACACUGGGGAAAUAAUUAAGCAUGAAUGAAAAAUUGUAUGUGGAUUUGAAAUGAAUGUGAGGCAUUCUUGGAAACAAUUGUACUGUUUCAGUUGUGCUGCCUUCUCCCCUAAGUUUCACAAAGUAAUUUGCAUGUCAUUUAAA